GUUGCCAUCAUUAAGUUGGGCACUCUAGCGAGACUGCCGGUAAUAAACCGGAGGAAGGUGGGGAUGACGUCAAAUCAUCAUGCCCCUUAUGACCUGGGCUACACACGUGCUACAAUGGUUGGUACAACGAGUCGCAAGCCGGUGACGGCAAGCUAAUCUCUUAAAGCCAAUCUCAGUUCGGAUUGUAGGCUGCAACUCGCCUACAUGAAGUCGGAAUCGCUAGUAAUCGCGGAUCAGCACGCCGCGGUGAAUACGUUCCCGGGCCUUGUACACACCGCCCGUCACACCACGAGAGUUUGUAACACCCGAAGUCGGUGAGGUAACCUAUUAGGAGCCAGCCGCCUAAGGUGGGAUAGAUGAUUGGGGUGAAGUCGUAACAAGGUAGCCGUAUCGGAAGGUGCGGCUGGAUCACCUCCUUU
rnacentral:rRNA from 1 species